CGGGAUCAGGCUCGCGGAUCCACAGCCGCCACAGCCGCCGCCGUUCCACAGACGUCACAUGAUGUUUGGUCACGUGGGCUCCAUUCAUGAAGCGGCGACGCGACCGACCAAGACCGUACCCUGGAGAAACUUGCUUUGUCCCUUGGGCCCUGCUCAUCUGAUAGUAACUGGCUCACUGGACCAUUAUUUCAGGGAAGUCCCAGCCAUAAUUCACUUCACUCCUUCUCCACUUUCUCCCUCCAAUCAAACUGUAUGCACAGGAAAGAAGCCCUCUUAGUCCUUUAUUUCUAUGCUCAGUCUCUCUCCAGCCAUGACAGUUAAUAGUAUCUCCAGAAUGACGGGUAAGUUGACACUGUCUUCAGUGUUCUAUUCUUUUUUUAAGAGACAGCAACGGGAUGACCUUUCCAAGCCUUUGGCCUUUGGCUGUUCUCCAUUGCCUGCCCAGGCUCCCUUGUUCAGUCCUUCUUUGCAGA